rnacentral:rRNA from 1 species
GCGAACGCUGGCGGCAGGCCUAACACAUGCAAGUCGAGCGCUCGUAGCAAUACGAGAGCGGCAGACGGGAGAGUAACACGUGGGAACGUACCCUUUGGUUCGGAACAACACAGGGAAACUUGUGCUAAUACCGAAUAAGCCCUUACGGGAAAGAUUUAUCGCCGAAGGAUCGGCCCGCGUCUGAUUAGCUAGUUGGUGGGGUAACGGCUCACCAAGGCGACGAUCAGUAGCUGGCUGAGAGGAUGACCAGCCUCAUUGGGACUGAGACACGGCCCAAACUCCUACGGGAGGCAGCAGUGGGGAAUAUUGGACAAUGGGCGCAAGCCUGAUCCAGCCAUG